GAUGAACGCUGGCGGCGUGCCUAAUACAUGCAAGUCGAGCGAACAGACGAGGAGCUUGCUCCUCUGACGUUAGCGGCGGACGGGUGAGUAACACGUGGAUAACCUACCUAUAAGACUGGGAUAACUUCGGGAAACCGGAGCUAAUACCGGAUAAUAUAUUGAACCGCAUGGUUCAAUAGUGAAAGACGGUUUUGCUGUCACUUAUAGAUGGAUCCGCGCCGCAUUAGCUAGUUGGUAAGGUAACGGCUUACCAAGGCAACGAUGCGUAGCCGACCUGAGAGGGUGAUCGCCAACACUGGAACUGAGCCACGGUCCAGCCUCCUACGGAGGGCAGCAGUAGGGAAUCUUCCGCAAUGGGCGAAAGCCUGACGGAGCAACGCGGGGUGGGGAAUGAGGGUCUUCGAUUCGUAAAACCCUGUUAUAGGGAAAAAACAAAUGUGUAGGUAACUAGGAACGCCUUGACGGUACCAAAUAAGAAGGCCCCGCCUAACUACGU
rnacentral:rRNA from 1 species